GGUCUGUUAGCUCAGCGGGAGAGCACUUCGUUGACAUCGAAGGGGUCGCUGGUUCGAUCCCAGUACAGACCA
rnacentral:tRNA from 3 species